UGCCAUGCCAUGCCAUGCCAUGCCAUGCCAUGCCAUGCCAUGCCAUGCCAUGCCAUGCCAUGCCAUGCCAUGCCAUGCCAUCCCAUCCCAUCCCAUGCCAUGCCAUGCCAUCCCCUGGGGCCAUGCCCAUGGACAGGAUGGAAUAGGGGCCGGGCAGACACCCCACAGCCGUGCUCCAUGCCCUGGGGCGGCGCGGGGCUGUCCCUGCCUGGGCAGCGCAGGGCUGGGCUGUGUUCUCCGGCCUCUCCCGCAGCCCCUCAGCUCGGGCUGCGCUCGCUCUUUGCCAGGUGCAGCCGUGCAGCGCACACGAGAGCAGGAACGCACCCGUGGCCGCUUCCGCAGAACAGCGCAGGUACCUGCAGCCAUCCCCACCUGGGCUGGGCCUGCUGGCACUGCUCAGCCCAGCACUGUGCUCGGAGCACUCCAUGCAACAUCCCGGGCUUCUUGCCCUUCUGCUACAGAUGGUUUGCAAAUUCAUGAAGAGGAUUCGGGAGGAAGAGAGCAGCGUCGUGGGCACUGUGGUCAGAGCGUACUCUCCCAUCUUCAAAACCAAGACCAGUGCUGCCCUGCUGGAUAUGCUUGUGGAGGAGGGUCCUUCCAGCCCAAAGCAAGUGAGCAGCCUGUGGCCUGGCUUUUCUCCUCCCAGCAGUUGCGUGGCCUCCCAAGCCACGCCUGCUGCUCCCUGGAAGCCUUUGAGGCCAUGGCAGUGUGGUGGCAAGGGAAGCACUUCUCUGGGGCAGCUGGGCACAUUCCUUCCUCUGGCAGCUUUCCAAGUCUCCCCUGCCUUCUCCAGGUGCCGGCCAUGGUGAGGUACAUCCACCAGUGGCUGGUGGCCAAUGAGUUUCCUGAGUACAAUCUGUACAGGCCCCUCCUGGAUCUGACAGAGGCACAGCCCUCUGACGUGGUGAUGGCUCUCCUGCGUGUGGCCCCAGUGUGUGACAGAGCUGCUUUGGCCAUGUGGAAGAGCAUCAUGUGCUCGCCCAGGACUGCAGAGCCGGCCAUGCUCGUACUCCUCGAGGUGCUGGGGAGCUGGCCAGAGCACAGCACGUGCACCUCCGAUGGGGACCACACGGCUGUCCUUGCCCUGGCUGUGAGUUUCUGCCUUUGCUGGCCCCAAGGCCACCUCUCCAGCAGCUCUCCAUCCUCCCUCCCCCACGGCGUCUCCCUGCCUCAGGCGCUGGGCUGAAACCUGGCCUCGGGGCAGCUUCAGGGCCACCAGGCCCGGUGCUCCCCCUUCGGUGCUCCCCCUGCGUCUCUCCGGGCCUCUCCCUCCCGUACUGGGCCCUGCCACACGGACACCUCGGCACUGAGCGCUGUCUCGGGCUGCUCUGUCCUUUGCAGGCAACCGUGGUGAUGUGGAAGAUCCUCCAGCUGCCCUGUGUGCCACAUGUAGUCACCGUGUGUUUCCCCUGCCUCUUUGUGCAUCUGCUCUUCCAAGUGCUCUUCAGCACUCUGGAUAUGCCAGAGGAGGUCGAUACCUUCUGGAAGGGAUGCCAGCAGCAACACGGCCUUGCCACCAACCCCAGCAGGUGCUCCAUGCCAGUCCUCCUGUCCUUGCCACAUCCCUGGGCAGGGGCCAGUGCCCCCAGCGUGACCUGGGCUUUGCUCUGCGCACAGGUUUGCAGAGCAGACCCUGAAGGCCCUGCUCUGCCGACUGCACUAUGAGGAUGUGGUGGUGGCCAUGGAAGACAAGGGUGGCUGGGACACACUGCUCUGUGCUGACACCCACCACUGUGCUGUGGGCGUGCUGGCCAGGUGAGACCCCCUGCUCCCCAGCUGUCCCCAGCAUGUGUGCCCUGCGCCCCAGGUGCCCCACACAGUCCCCGUGGCCGUGGGCCAGAAGCCCUUGUCACCAAGGGACGGCCAAGGAGGCUGCAAAAGGCUGGGAGAGGAGCGUGCCCAAGAGCAGCAACCUCCCAGAGGGCUCAGCUGCCCCUUGCAGGGU
rnacentral:lncRNA from 1 species